rnacentral:rRNA from 1 species
GCCUAAGACAUGCAAGUCGAACGAAGUGGCCCGAUGAAGAGUGCGAGCUGCUCAAACUCGGAUUCGGAUCCCACUUAGUGGCGCAAGGGUGAGUAACACGUGGGUAAUCUGCCUUGAGUCUGGAAUAACAGUUAGAAAUGAUUGCUAAUGCCGGAUAAUAUGGAGAACGAUACGUCAUUCUUUAUUAAAAGGGGCCUUUAAAGCCUCGCUUGAAGAUGAGCCUGCGCCGUAUUAGCUAGUUGGUGGGGUAAAGGCCUACCAAGGCAACGAUGCGUAGCCGACCUGAGAGGGUGAUCGGCCACACUGGGACUGAGACACGGCCCAGACUCCUACGGGAGACAGCAGUUAGGAAUAUUCGUCAAUGGGGGAAACCCUGAACGAGCAAUGCCGCGUGAAGGAAUGAAGGUCCUAUGGAUUGUAAACUUCUGUUGUUAGGGAAGAACGACCUAUAUAGGAAAUGAUAUAGGAGUGACGGUACCUUUCAAGAAAGCUCCGGCUAACUACGUGCCAGCCGCGGC